AAAUAAUUUUAUUACUAAGAGAAAUCAGGAAUAACACACCAUUUGAACAAAUAAAACCAGUAUUAACAUCUUCUAAUGAUUGAACUAUCCCUGAGGCUCAAACCUUCUGAAUUAAAUAACACACGGCCAUUAGCAAAUAAUCACACUACAAUGAGAGAGAGAGAGAGAGAUUAGCAUGCUAAUUCCAAACGAGUCUGCUUAAACAUGAACUUAACACAUCUAGAUAAACCUAACCAAAUAGAAACUGAAGAUUUAACAAUAUUGAUAGAAGAUUCAUGAACUAACCUUAAGAUACUGGCUAACAACAAUGAAAAACAUAGAAAAAAAAUAAUCCUAAAAUGCUAAAAGCCUUAAAUUAUGCAACUAAACAGUCAUGAAGUCAUAAAAACUCAAGAGAAAGGGGAAGAAAAUAAUAGAGGGACACAAACAAGAUAAAAUAAUAAAGAAAUACCUAUGUUCGCUCCAAAUGGAAUCAACUAAGAACUCAAUACGACGUUAAACAAAUGAAGUGAACCUUUAACAAUCAUUAAUCGACUGUCCUUAAUAAGGAAUCAUCGAUUAAUGACAGUUUAGGGUUCGCUCGACCACAUGCUCACGAAGAAAGGAAAAAGAGGGAAAACCUAAAUCUUUUUCAGAACCCUUGCUUCAGCGUUGAUGGUCUUGGGGCUGAUUUGCGAGGAAACUAAAGCAUAUUCGGGGAGAGGGAGGGUGAGGGAUUGCAUGGUGUAAGUUUGGGGUUGUUUGGGCGACUUACACUUUUGGGAUUCUGAGUAUAGAUCCGAAAUUCGAGAUUUUUUAGGGUGAUUUUGGGAAACAGAUUAGGAGAUUCAAAAAGAGGAAGGAAAUGGGAUUAUAUGGUGUUAAUUUGGAGGGGGUCAGAGUGGUUUACACCGUCGCCGCAGGCAGAGAUGAUGGAGGUUUCAGGGGUGGCAGGCUUUAGGGUUUGGAUUGAGAGAGAUGAAAGAGUGAGAGGGGUUUUACUG
rnacentral:lncRNA from 1 species